GGCGCAGCUGAUCUACAUGCCGGUGAGUGAUGAAGGCCCUAGGGUUGUAAAGCUCUUUCGCCAGGGACGAUAAUGACGGUACCUGGAUAAGAAGCCCCGGCUAACUUCGUGCCAGCAGCCGCGGUAAUACGAAGGGGGCUAGCGUUGUUCGGAUUUACUGGGCGUAAAGCGCACGUAGGCGGAUCUUUAAGUCAGGGGUGAAAUCCCGAGGCUCAACCUCGGAACUGCCUUUGAUACUGGAGGUCUCGAGUCCGGGAGAGGUGAGUGGAACUGCGUGUGUAGAGGUGACAUUCGUAGAUAUUCGCACGAACACCAGUGGCCGAAGGCGGCUCACUGGCCCGGUACUGACGCUGAGGUGCGACCGCGUGGGGAGCAAACCGGAUUAGAUACCCUGGUAGUCCACGCCGUCAACGAUGGAUGCUAGCCGUCGGGCAGCUUGCUGUUCA
rnacentral:rRNA from 1 species